AGUGAACGCUGGCGGUAGGCCUAACACAUGCAAGUCGAACGGCAGCACAGUAAGAGCUUGCUCUUACGGGUGGCGAGUGGCGGACGGGUGAGGAAUACAUCGGAAUCUACUUUUUCGUGGGGGAUAACGUAGGGAAACUUACGCUAAUACCGCAUACGACCUACGGGUGAAAGCAGGGGAUCUUCGGACCUUGCGCGAUUGAAUGAGCCGAUGUCGGAUUAGCUAGUUGGCGGGGUAAAGGCCCACCAAGGCGACGAUCCGUAGCUGGUCUGAGAGGAUGAUCAGCCACACUGGAACUGAGACACGGUCCAGACGCCUACGGGAGGCAGCAGUGGGGAAUAUUGGACAAUGGGCGCAAGCCUGAUCCAGCCAUACCGCGUGGGUGAAGAAGGCCUUCGGGUUGUAAAGCCCUUUUGUUGGGAAAGAAAAGCAGCAGGUUAAUACCCCGCUGUUCUGACGGGACCCAAAGAAUAAGCACCGGCUAACUGAGU
rnacentral:rRNA from 1 species